rnacentral:rRNA from 1 species
GACGAACGCUGGCGGCGUGCUUAACACAUGCAAGUCGAACGGAAAGGCCCUGCUUGCAGGGUACUCGAGUGGCGAACGGGUGAGUAACACGUGGGUGAUCUGCCCUGCACUUCGGGAUAAGCCUGGGAAACUGGGUCUAAUACCGGAUAGGAGCCAUUUUUAGUGUGAUGGUUGGAAAGUUUUUUCGGUGUAGGAUGAGCUCGCGGCCUAUCAGCUUGUUGGUGGGGUAAUGGCCUACCAAGGCGGCGACGGGUAGCCGGCCUGAGAGGGUGGACGGCCACAUUGGGACUGAGAGACGGCCCAGACUCCUACGGGAGGCAGAAGUGGGGAAUAUUGCACAAUGGGCGCAAGCCUGAUGCAGCGACGCCGCGUGGGGGAUGACGGCCUUCGGGUUGUAAACUCCUUUCGCUAGGGACGAAGCUUUUUGUGACGGUACCUAGAGAAGAAGCACCGGCUAACUACGUG